rnacentral:lncRNA from 1 species
CCACCUCCUGCACACCGCCACAGUGCCACCCCAUGCACGGGGCUGGGCCCUGAGCCAUGGCCAGGCUGGAGCCUGGUGGGAGAGUUAAAGCUCACGUGGAGAGCUGUACUAAAGCCCCAGCAGCUGACAGAGAUUCAGAUACGCACUUGGAAAGCAGUAUUGAGUCACCCAGGACAAACACACGAAUCACAACGGAAGUUUUCACUCCUUGAGCCCAGGCAGGAAUUCCCUCCACAGCACGGCAGAGAAUUUCAGAGAAGAUGAGCAUGACUUGGGCACGUCCUCGGACUGAGACAGAAUAAAAUGGCUUGCAGCAAGCAAGGUUUGUUGGUUCAUUUUGCUGCUACCAGCAGAUUUACACACCCACCCUCCCCCCCCAAUACCCGAGUACAACAUGGUUCCAUCCCCAGGCUGCCUUUGCAUCACCUCACUCAACAGCCAGCAGCCUCCAGUAUGCCAUAUGCUGCCAUGCUCCAACCUGCGUGGACUGCGGGCUGCUCGGAUGAGAACAGGACUGACAUGGCAAGCUAAGGGCUCUACUGAACCCAGCCAACCUGGGGAUGUUCUUAAGAAGUUGGGAGUUACCUGUAAAACAAAGCUUGGGGAAUUUCUCCAGAAUCCCGAGCUAAUUAAAAAACACAUUGCUAGCAUCGUGGCCAAAAAGCUACCGGUGCGGAUUUACCGCGCGUUAACAUAAAGGCUGAAAGCGCCCAGGAAGCAAUUUUCAGUCUGCUUUUGGUCUGCUGCAAGAGAUAAGACUUUUCCUAAAUGUAAACCAUUAGCAAAGCAUUUUCCAAAAUGUUUCAAAUUGGAGUGGUGCAGCCACUUUUAGUAGCCUUCUAUAAUGUUAAGCGUUAAAAUGGAUCAAGUAUACAAAGGCACCUAUCAUAGUACCAGUUUCAUCUCAUUUCUUUACAGAAAAGAAUUUGAACUGGG